rnacentral:rRNA from 1 species
GAUCUCUUUGAGGCCCAUUAUCGGAAUGAGAACAAUUCAAAUCCUUUAACGAGGAUCUAGCGGAGGGCAAGUCUGGUGCCAGCAGCCGCGGUAACUCCAGCUCCGCAGGUGUAUAUCUAUGCUGCUGCAGUUAAAAAGCUCGUAGUUGGAUCUGCGUGCUCGGAACUGGUUGGCUCACUGAGUUCAAACUGGUCUCCGGCGCUUUAUUUGCUGGUUUUCCCUUGAUGCUCUUAACCGGGUGUCUCGGGUGGCUAGCGUGUUUACUUUGAAAAAAUUAGAGUGCUCAAUACAGGCGCAAAGCCUUGAAUAGCGGUGCAUGGAAUAAUAGAAUAGGACCUCGGCUCUAUUUUGUUGGUUUUCGGAACACGAGGUAAUGAUUAAGAGGGACAGACGGGGGCAUUCGUAUUGCGACGUUAGAGGUGAAAUUCUUGGAUCGUCGCAAGACGGACGACUGCGAAAGCAUUUGCCAAGAAUGUUUUCAUUAAUCAAGAACGAAAGUUAGAGGUUCGAAGGCGAUCAGAUACCGCCCUAGUUCUAACCGUAAACGAUGCCAACUAGCGAUUCGCAGGCGUUAAACAACGACCUUGCGGGCAGCUUCCCGGAAACGAAAGUGUUCCGGUUCCGGGGGAAGUAUGGUUGCAAAGCUGAAACUUAAAGGAAUUGACGGAAGGGCACCACCAGGAGUGGAGCCUGCGGCUUAAUUUGACACAACACGGGAAAACUCACCCGGCCCGGACACCGUAAGGAUUGACAGAUUGAGAGCUCUUUCUUGAUUCGGUGGGUGGUGGUGCAUGGCCGUUCUUAGUUGGUGGAGCGAUUUGUCUGGUUUAUUCCGAUAACGAACGAGACUCUGGCCUACUAAAUAGUGGGCGGAUUCUUUCUGUCCGCAACACUUCUUAGAGGGACAAGCGGUGUUCAGCCGCACGAGAUUGAGCAAUAACAGGUCUGUGAUGCCCUUAGAUGUCCGGGGCUGCACGCGCGCUACACUGAAGGAAUCAGCGUGCUUUCUGACCUUGCCCGAAAGGGCUGGGUAACCCGAUGAAAAUCCUUCGUGAUUGGGAUAGGGACUUGCAAUUAUUUCCCUUGAACGAGGAAUUCCCAGUAAGUGUGGGUCAUAAGCUCGCGUUGAUUACGUCCCUGCCCUUUGUACACACCGCCCGUCGCUGCCCGGGACUGAGCCGUUUCGAGAAGAACAGGGACCGUCGUUGAAGGGCCCUAACGGGCUUUUCUCUGAUAGAAACUGUUUU